GAUGAACGCUGGCGGCGUGCCUAAUACAUGCAAGUCGAGCGAACAGACGAGGAGCUUGCUCCUUUGACGUUAGCGGCGGACGGGUGAGUAACACGUGGGUAACCUACCUAUAAGACUGGGAUAACUUCGGGAAACCGGAGCUAAUACCGGAUAAUAUUUCGAACCGCAUGGUUCGAUAGUGAAAGAUGGCUUUGCUAUCACUUAUAGAUGGACCUGCGCCGUAUUAGCUAGUUGGUAAGGUAACGGCUUACCAAGGCAACGAUACGUAGCCGACCUGAGAGGGUGAUCGGCCACACUGGAACUGAGACACGGUCCAGACUCCUACGGGAGGCAGCAGUAGGGAAUCUUCCGCAAUGGGCGAAAGCCUGACGGGGCAACGCCGCGUGAGUGAUGAAGGUCUUCGGAUCGUAAAACUCUGUUAUUAGGGAAGAAUAAACGUGUAAGUAACUGUGCACGUCUUGACGGUACCUAAUCAGAAAGCCACGGCUAACUACGUG
rnacentral:rRNA from 1 species